AACCUGCCGUCUACUCUUGGACAGCCUUCUGAAAGGAAGAUUAAUACAAGAUGGCAUCAUGAGUUCACAUGUUCACAUGAUUAAAGGUAUUCCGGUAGACGAUGGGGAUGCGUUCCAUUAGAUAGUAGGCGGGGUAACGGCCCACCUAGUCUUCGAUGGAUAGGGGUUCUGAGAGGAAGGUCCCCCACAUUGGAACUGAGACACGGUCCAAACUCCUACGGGAGGCAGCAGUGAGGAAUAUUGGUCAAUGGGCGAGAGCCUGAACCAGCCAAGUAGCGUGAAGGAUGACUGCCCUAUGGGUUGUAAACUUCUUUUAUAAAGGAAUAAAGUCGGGUAUGCAUACCCGUUUGCAUGUACUUUAUGAAUAAGGAUCGGCUAACUCCGUGCCAGCAGCCGCGGUAAUACGGAGGAUCCGAGCGUUAUCCGGAUUUAUUGGGUUUAAAGGGAGCGUAGAUGGAUGUUUAAGUCAGUUGUGAAAGUUUGCGGCUCAACCGUAAAAUUGCAGUUGAUACUGGAUAUCUUGAGUGCAGUUGAGGCAGGCGGAAUUCGUGGUGUAGCGGUGAAAUGCUUAGAUAUCACGAAGAACUCCGAUUGCGAAGGCAGCCUGCUAAGCUGCAACUGACAUUGAGGCUCGAAAGUGUGGGUAUCAAACAGGAUUAGAUACCCUGGUAGUCCACACGGUAAACGAUGAAUACUCGCUGUUUGCGAUAUACAGCAAGCGGCCAAGCGAAAGCGUUAAGUAUUCCACCUGGGGAGUACGCCGGCAACGGUGAAACUCAAAGGAAUUGACGGGGGCCCGCACAAGCGGAGGAACAUGUGGUUUAAUUCGAUGAUACGCGAGGAACCUUACCCGGGCUUAAAUUGCAGAUGAAUUACGGUGAAAGCCGUAAGCCGCAAGGCAUCUGUGAAGGUGCUGCAUGGUUGUCGUCAGCUCGUGCCGUGAGGUGUCGGCUUAAGUGCCAUAACGAGCGCAACCCUUGUUGUCAGUUACUAACAGGUCAUGCUGAGGACUCUGACAAGACUGCCAUCGUAAGAUGUGAGGAAGGUGGGGAUGACGUCAAAUCAGCACGGCCCUUACGUCCGGGGCUACACACGUGUUACAAUGGGGGGUACAGAGGGCCGCUACCACGCGAGUGGAUGCCAAUCCCCAAAACCUCUCUCAGUUCGGACUGGAGUCUGCAACCCGACUCCACGAAGCUGGAUUCGCUAGUAAUCGCGCAUCAGCCACGGCGCGGUGAAUACGUUCCCGGGCCUUGUACACUCCGCCCGUCAAGCCAUGAGUGCUGUGUGUACCUGAAAGGCGUA
rnacentral:rRNA from 1 species